UGGCCACCGAUGAAAAUAGUUCUCUACUAGAGAAGGACGACAUAGAGGAAGACAGAAAAUCCAAAGGAAAAACUCAACAACAUGUCGCCACUGAUUCCUAUUCACAAGAUAGAAACCAUAGCAAACACAUAAGGGAUAAGCAGUUAGAUAAAUGCUCCGAUUUCGAUUCGGGAGAAGAAGAAGAAGAAGAUGAGAAAAGCAGCAAAAGU
rnacentral:misc_RNA from 1 species